UACGUAGGGGGCAAGCGUUGUCCGGAAUCAUUGGGCGUAAAGAGCGUGUAGGCGGCUCGAUAAGUCUGCUGUGAAAGUCCAGGGCUCAACCCUGGAAGGCCGGUGGAAACUGUCGGGCUAGAGUCCGGAAGAGGCGAGUGGAAUUCCCGGUGUAGCGGUGAAAUGCGCAGAUAUCAGGAGGAACACCAAUGGCGAAGGCAGCACUCUGGGACGUGACUGACGCUGAGACGCGAAAGCGUGGGGAGCAAACAGG
rnacentral:rRNA from 1 species